rnacentral:rRNA from 1 species
GUGCCAGCCGCCGCGGUAAUACGUAGGGGGCAAGCGUUGUUCGGAAUUACUGGGCGUAAAGGGCGCGUAGGCGGCACGGCAAGUCAGGAGUGAAAGCCCGGGGCUCAACCCCGGAACGUCUUUUGAAACUGCCGAGCUAGAGUGCGGAAGAGGCAACUGGAAUUCCCAGUGUAGCGGUGAAAUGCGUAGAUAUUGGGAAGAACACCUGAGGCGAAGGCGGGUUGCUGGGCCGACACUGACGCUGAGGCGCGAAAGCCAGGGGAGCGAACGGGAUUAGAUACCCGUGUAGUCC